GCAUUGGUGGUUCAAUGGUAGAAUUCUCCCAUUUCAUGCAGGAGACCAGGGUUCAAUUCCAAGCCAAUGUA
rnacentral:tRNA from 1 species